rnacentral:lncRNA from 1 species
UCACACUUUAUCUUUUCUUUUUUAAUAACCCCUAAAAACCAGUGGAGUAGUUUUGCAGGUUGAAGCCAUGUCUAAAUGAAAGUCCUCAGUAGGUGUUAAAGGAAACAGGGAGGGGAGAUCCUGAAGCCUCCAGCCGGGAGGUCAGGUGUCGGGAGCUGCCCUGGCUUGGGCAGCUCGGGGCCCCAGCCCCAGAGAUGGUGUGGGCAGGGCAGGCGUGGUGUGGGGGCUGUGGGCUG